rnacentral:rRNA from 17 species
GUUGACCUCGGAUCAG